UACGUAGGGUGCAAGCGUUUAAUCGGAAUUACUGGGCGUAAAGCGUGCGCAGGCGGUUGUGCAAGACAGAUGUGAAAUCCCCGGGCUCAACCUGGGAACUGCAUUUGUGACUGCACGGCUGGAGUGCGGCAGAGGGGGAUGGAAUUCCGCGUGUAGCAGUGAAAUGCGUAGAUAUGCGGAGGAACACCGAUGGCGAAGGCAGCCCCCUGGGCUGACACUGACGCUCAGGCAUGAAAGCGUGGGGAGCAAACAGG
rnacentral:rRNA from 1 species